rnacentral:lncRNA from 1 species
AUGAUGAUCUUUUACUUACGAAAACUAGGUACAGUACUUAAAAGAGGAAAACUUGUUUAAAAUUGAGUUCCCGAAAGACUUUUAUAAAUUGUUAUUUUAAAUAGAUGGAGAGUUGUCUCAUUAGCACUCAUACCACAUCUUCCUAUAUCUAGUAUUGAGUUAUGACCCAGUACCUAAAAGAGUAACAUUCAGUUUUAAAUCAGGAGUUUAAAGGGUAGUGUUCAGUUUUCUGGAAUGGUAAGGGUAUGAUUACAGAUAAGGACAUGUGGUUUGAUUGCCAAUGAGACAACUUUCUUUCAGAGACCAAAGGACAAAAACAUGAAGUGUCACCCAUACAUAUACUAUGACAUCAAUGCUUGUUAUUUAUGCAUCUUUUGAGACCUGAAAUCACAAUUAUGUCACAUUAUUGUAAAGGUAAACCUGUUUUAUUGUGAAGUAUGAUUUAUCAAAG